rnacentral:lncRNA from 1 species
UAUGCUGGACCGGUAGUCAGUGACGGGUAUGAUCCAAUUGCAGUGGUACCAACCUAAGACAGGAGGCUGACGCCUUGAGGUCAGCUCAUCCGAUGACGGGUAAGGACCAUAUGUAGUAUUGGACAACCUAACAGGCAUGGUCCCUAAGCCACAUUGCUUGUUGUUUAAUUAAACAGAAGGGGGGAGAUGCUGAAAGCCACAGCCGAGUCAGAAUGGCCCCUGGCAUUUUGCCAACAGUAUUGGUUGAGAGGGGAGCUAUUAUUAUCCACCUCAGCCCGCUACUUUGGAGUUCUCCUGCUACUUUGGACUUCUCGUGGGGAUUCCUGGAGAGUUCGCAUUGGUUGGGGAAGUGACGGAGGAGGGAGUUCCGGUUGGUGGUUGCUGGAGGAGCCACGUGGCGUUCGGGGGAGUUCCCGGAACCAUGUGUGGAGUGUGCUGGCAGAGUUCAGAAAUAAAGUUUGUUCUUGCUUCAGUGGCUUGUGAUUUGUGCCCAGCCAGACUGCUGCAGAUCCUCCCCGCUGGGUGUCUGGGAGAGCUUGUAUACUGCCACAGCCAGGGAAAAGAGGACUUGCCCCUCCAGGCGUGAAACCCCUUCCACCUGGGUGUCUGUGGGAGCACCUAUACAGCCACAGGUAGGGUAGAAGGGAUGCCAUUUUCCAGGCUGGAGACUCCUCACACCUACUUGUCUCAGGAACUCCUAUACCACAGCAGCCAUGGUAGAGGGAACUAGC